UGCAAGCACAUAUCUAUGAAAUCGGGUAAAACGUAGUUUUGAUAGUAUAUAUUUUUGAGGCAACAGUCCACUCUAGAUAAUGAUUAUUACGAAGAAAACAACUUGUUAAGUCGAAAAUGGCAGAAAAUGGUAGAGAUAUAGCAUUAUCUAGAAUUUACCUCUAGUAGUAUUGCCAAAUCUUCGAUCUAACUCUGUUAACCUUAAAAAGAGCUGUAAGAAAUUUUUUCUUAAUUUAGUACUCAUGCAGCGGCGACAAAAACUCAAAUCAGAAAACUUCUGGACUCCGGAAUCAUCAGACCCUACAGCAAUAUGUACGCCACUCCUAUUUAUAUGGCACGAUAGAAAGACAACAGCUGGAGAAUGUGCAGUGACUACUGUAAACUCAAUGAUGCCACUAAUCCAGACAUGUACAGUCAUGCUCUCAUCCAAGAUCUCUUUCUACUUCUAUAUAACAAAAGACGUUACAGCAGCAAAAUCGACGGUGAAAAAGAAUACCUACAACUAACCUAUGCACGAGGAUGAUAUUGAAAUAAUUGCCAUCAAAACCCCAAGGGAUCUUUACUAGCACCUAAAGACCUGGACUUCGUGUUCGUCUACGUAGAUGACAUUCUGGUAUUCUCGGACGUUGAAGACCAACACUUGAAACACGUACGCAUCAUACUCGAAUUAAAAGAUAACAACCUUAUAAUCAAUCUCAAAACACGUCUGUUUAACCAAUAGGAGAUAAACGUCCUGGAUUACACAAUUAACAAACAUAAUUACAUUCCAAUGUGCGUACGAGUUGAUGCCAUUAAAGGAUAUCAAAAACCUGAAACUAUUACUGCACUCCGUAGAUUUCUUGACAUGAUCAACUCCUAUGACCUCUGUAUACCUUAGGCAGCUCAAAUCAUGCUUCCUCUCAAUAGUUACCUUAAAGAAGCAAUAAAAAAUAUAAAACCAAGAUUGCAUUGACUCCUGAAGCCAAUGAGUUUUAAGCCACUGAAGCCAGUGUUUUACAUAAAGUUUUUCUGUUGAUUAUUUCAAUAAAGUAUGCCAUCGAUUCAAAGAAUACUGAUCAAAUAAUAUAAUGAUUAUAAGCAAUAGGAGAAAAGACAUUAAUGUUAACUAUAAUUCUAUAUCUUCUACAUUUUCUAAUAUGCAAUAAUUCUAUCAUUGAUCUUUUCUAUUUUAACUGAAAUGCAUCGUAUGAUAUUAUUAUAAAUUUAUUAACAGAUAUAUAUUUUUAUAUAAAUCUAUUAUUAAAAUAGAAAAUGAUUUUUGCAUUUUGCAUUUUAGUAUCUUGGAAUAACAAAUGAUAGAUUUUAAGAAUGGAAAUGUGAUCAUUGAAAGAACUAGAAUGAUAUAUACAGGGAAUAUUUUGAAACAUUUGUAUAAAAUAAUUUUCUUAUAUACUUCCAUUUUAUUUACUAGGAUUACCAAUAUCACUAAAGUAUUAUAAAUAUUAUUACUGAGAUAUUGACAUUUAUUUAUGGAAGACAGUAAUGCCAUAAGUUAGUCAUGCCAUAAUUUACAUCAUGGAAUUAGAAUAUACAAUAUAUGAUAACAGAA